rnacentral:rRNA from 1 species
CGAACGCUGGCGGCGCGUUUAAGCAUGCAAGUCGAGCGGCAAGGGCCUUCGGGCCCCUAGAGCGGCGGACGGGUGAGUAACACGUGGACAAUCUGCCCCCCGGCCCGGGAUAGCCCAGGGAAACCUGGAUUAAUACCGGAUGAGACGGGACCCGCGAUGGCGGGACCCGGGAAAGGCGCUGCGGCGCCGCCGGGGGAUGAGUCUGCGUCCCAUUAGCUAGACGGCGGGGUAACGGCCCACCGUGGCGACGAUGGGUAGCCGGCCUGAGAGGGUGGACGGCCACAUUGGAACUGAGACACGGUCCAGACUCCUACGGGAGGCAGCAGCUAAGAAUCUUCCGCAAUGGGCGAAAGCCUGACGGAGCCGACGCCGCGUGAACGAAGAAGGCCGUGAGGUUGUAAAGUUCUUUUCGGGAGGGGGAACAACCGUGGCAGGGAAUGGCCGCGGGAUGACGUGAAUCCCGGAAUAAGCCCCGGCUAACUACGUGCCAGCCGCCGC